UUACCUUCCUUUUUUUUCUCUUUUCUUUUCCUUCUGACCCAAAAUACUGCCCCAAACCGUCACUUUCCCUUUCCCCCAUCUUCUUCACUUUUCCAAAAUUCAAUUUCAGAACUCAAAUUAGAAAUGGUAAAACCCUAGCUCGUCCGCCCCUUUCACUCUCGGUGACGGCGCUGUCUCGCCGUUUACCGUCGCCCCAUGCUAGCGCCGCGGCUGGUCGCUGUCUAUUUUGCCGAGUCGGCGUUAUCGACAGAGGCGGGCGUCGCCUUCUCGGGAAUCGCCGCCAUCAUCGUUGUCUCCCUUUCUUUGGCACGUUUCGCCGCCGAUCAAUGGUCCAGCAGCGGCGCUGCUGCUUUUCGUAGCUGAUCUUUCCCCACCGGAGAAGAAGAAGAGGCAUCGCCUCAUUUUCUCCCUCCGUCGCGACAGUCCACCGCUGGUGCUCCGUUGGCGACGUCGUAGGGGCUGUUAUCGGUUGCUGCUCGUCCCUUAAUCCGACGCGACAACACCACCGUCGCCUCUGUCUCUACUGCAGCGUCGUCGCCGGGCAGCACCUCCUCUGUUCCGGUGGAGCUCCUUCCUUCUCCAUCUCCCUCUCGGCUGUAGCUAAGUUCUAAUUCCCUCUUAGCUCUGAUGGUAGGUUUACUAUGUUCAAUGGAUUUUGUGUUGUAGUUUGGGUUAGGGCUCUACUACAGAUCUAGGUUCUACUUGUCAUUCAUCGAGUUAUCUGUGAUUCUAUGCGGCCUCUUAUAGGAUGCGAUCCUUUGAAUUGGUGUUCAUAAAUUUUCAUGCUUCAGGGAGCUUCUAUGUCUCACUUGAUAAGGCUAUUGUGUUUGCUCGUUAACGUGAUGUAAUUACCGUGCCUCAGUUCUGACUAUGGCAUCCUAGUGUGCUUGUGUUCACCCUUGGAUGUGAGGUUUCUACUACAUGAUGGUAUGACAUUCAAAGUGAGCUAGAAACUGAGUGAGCUUACCUUCUCUGCACAAUAUUAUGCUGAACUCUACCUCUAGCCUCGACUCCCUUCACUCUCUAAUCUGCUAGCUAACUGAGGGAGCAAUGUUGUGGGGCGAUAGAGUGUAACUGAGGGAAUCAGCAUAUGUAUUUAUAUUCAUAGCUUGUAACUGAAAGCUGCAAAAGCUUGUUGCUUGGCUGACAAAAGGGGUCCUAACUAUGUUAAACUGACUAAUAUCCCUGCAACUUGCAGGCUGUGUAUAUGUGGGAUACGGUUCUGGUUGUUGCACUAUGCAGCCUCUUUAACCACUUUCUUCCCUUGUAACAAAGCAACAUGGUACACUUAUCAUUUAUGGGGUUUGUCUUCUGCGGCAGGUGUACAACUGAAUGGCAGGGUUUGUAAGCCAUAUUCUCGGCAAGGGCAGCUGUGAGGUGGAGGUACGAGCUGCCAAUUGCAGUCUCGCAGGGAGUAUGUUGCUGCCAGAUGGUAUUGGCUGGCCUUAUUCUUCUUUUAGCCAAGCUCUUCAUCCCUUUUCUUUGUGAAAGGGACCGAGGCUGAUUUCUCUUGCUGUAGCCUCUCUCGUUCGGCCCAGCGGACCCUCGAAAAUCUGGGUCGAGAAACCCGUGUUGAAGAGACCGAAGUUAAUAGUUCUAUGUUGUAAUAUGAUAGUGUUUCAUAUUGUAACAUGUAGGAAAAGUCUACGUAUAGUUAACGCUUUUCUUUCUCCUUUAUUUUCAUCAUCAAGCAUUUGUAAAUUUAGAUUUAACUGGAAAUUCCAAUUAUUGUGUUUCAAGAAAUCAACGAAUACUCUUUCGUUCUCA